CCAACUGCUAUUUGGGUGAGGAUAAGCCAUGCGAGUUGAAUGGGAAACCUAAAGUUCCCAUGGCAAACUGCUCAGUAACACAUGAUCAACUUACCCUAUAGAGAAAAAUAACCUCGGGAAACUGAGGAUAAUGUUUCAUAGUUGAAUUGGCUUGGAAAAGUUUUUCGACGAAAGGGGUAAAAAAAAUGGUUUUUAUCUGCUAUAGGAUAGGAUCGUGUUCGAUUAUGGUUGUUGGUGAGGUAAUGGCUCACCAAGCCGAUAAUCGAUAGGGGCCGUGAGAGCGGGAGCCCCGAGAUGGGUACUGAGACAACGACCCAGGCCUUACGAGGCGCAGCAGGCGCGAAACCUCCGCAAUACACGAAAGUGUGACGGGGUUACCCAAAGUGUUCAAUAGAACUGUGGUAGGUGAGUAAUGUUCCCUACUAGAAAGGAGAGGGCAAGGCUGGUGCCAGCCGCCGCGGUAAAACCAGCUCUUCAAGUGGUCGGGAUAAUUAUUGGGCUUAAAGUGUCCGUAGCCGGUUUAGUAAGUUCCUGGUAAAAUCGGGUAGCUUAACUAUCUAUAUGCUAGGAAUACUACUAUACUAGAGGGCGGGAGAGGUCUGAGGUACUGCAGGGGUAGGGGUGAAAUCUUAUAAUCCUUGUUGGACCACCAGUGGCGAAGGCGUCAGACUGGAACGCGCCUGACGGUGAGGGACGAAAGCCAGGGGAGCGAACCGGAUUAGAUACCCGGGUAGUCCUGGCCGUAAACGAUGCAUACUAGGUGAUGGCACGGCCAUGAGCCGUGUCAGUGCCGUAGGGAAACCGUUAAGUGUGCCGCCUGGGAAGUACGGUCGCAAGGCUAAAACUUAAAGGAAUUGGCGGGGGAGCACCACAAGGGGUGAAGCCUGCGGUUCAAUUGGAUUCAACGCCGGA
rnacentral:rRNA from 1 species